rnacentral:rRNA from 1 species
GACGAACGCUGGCGGCGUGCUUAACACAUGCAAGUCGAACGGAAAGGCCCUGCUUUUGUGGGGUGCUCGAGUGGCGAACGGGUGAGUAACACGUGAGUAACCUGCCCUUGACUUUGGGAUAACUUCAGGAAACUGGGGCUAAUACCGGAUAGGAGCUCCUGCUGCAUGGUGGGGGUUGGAAAGUUUCGGCGGUUGGGGAUGGACUCGCGGCUUAUCAGCUUGUUGGUGGGGUAGUGGCUUACCAAGGCUGUGACGGGUAGCCGGCCUGAGAGGGUGACCGGCCACAUGGGGCCUGAGAGACGGCCCAGACGCCUACGGGAGGCAGCAGUGGGGAAUAUUGCACAAUGGGCGGAAGCCUGAUGCAGCAACGCCGCGUGCGGGAUGACGGCCUUCGGGUUGUAAACCGAUUUCGCCUGUGACGAAGAGUGAGUGACGGUAAUUGGUAAAGAAGCACCGGCUAACUACGUG